UACCUUCACCUUUCUGGCUCUUUUCCUUUUUCUCUUUAACUGGUGCAUUUCUUCUCUUAUUGAAAAACAAAUUAAAGAACAUUAUUUGAAUCAUAUUCAUGUGUUAGUGAACCUUAUAGAGACCCGAACAUAUUGGGUUGCUAAUGUUGUUGAAAACAUAGCAGUUAGGGUAUCUUGUUCUGAGGUUUAGUUCGAGUAAGAUGAUGGCGGAGUAUUUGGAGUUGUUGCCGUGAUACGAGUGAUGAGUGCAUGUGAUUGAAAUGGUAUCCUAGCAUUUCAUUGGGGGUUUGGAGAAAUCUUAUUAGUUUUGUAUGCACUUGGAAAGAAAUUUAAUUCUAGAAAACAAUAUAGAGAUCAAUGUGGUUGUGGCUCAAAUUGGUUAUGGAUGAAGGAGAUUGGGGUGAAGUCAGAGAUAGCACAAGUUUAGAGAACUUGGACUGUUUGGAUUAGGAAAUUGAAAAAAAUAAAAUAAUAAAUUAUAAGAAGGUUUUGAAAAUUGGGUGUGUGGAUCCUAUCGGAGAUCUCGUUCAUUUUUGGCCAUGGACUACCAUUUGAGUACUUACUAUGAAUCCAGAGAUAGUCUUUAGUAUUUAUAGAUCUGUUACGUCUAUCUCAUCUUGGCAAGAAGUUAUAAAAACUGGGUAGAUUUCGAAUUGAUUCGAAAAUGUUGCAAGUGCGAUUUCUGAAUGGCGAAUCAGAGAGUCGGAACUUGCCAAGCGGGCUGAAACUUGGUUCGUUGGAAGUUCAGAUUUUCCGAUCCGUCACAGUUGGUAUCAGAGCAGGUCCGGUUCAUUCGGGACUGUGAGUCUGGGACUCGUCAGCGUUUUCUUUGUAUUGGGACUACAGGUAAUCCUCAUUACUUCUAAGUUUUGUUUUGAACUUUGAGGACAAAGUUCUUUUAAAGGGAUUAAUGGUGUGACGGGCUGAAUUAUUUCUGGUUUGACUAAACUCAAUAGAGCUAGAAAUCACAUUACUUACUUGGAGUGUGAUUAACAUUUUUGUGUCUGCCCUAAUAGUUAAACGUGCAACUAUUAUCUUCACACACGUCUACACAUGGUGGUGUACGUAUCCUUCUUAGAGAAAAGAAAAUAAAAAGAUGCAGCCAGAGAAAACGAGGGGGGGUCUUUUUAUUUCUUCUUCGAUGAUUAUUUUUCUUCCCCUCACCUUUCUGCCUCUUUUCCUUUUUCUCUUUAACUGGUGCAUUUCUUCUCUUCUUGAAAAACAAAUCAAAGAACAUGAUUUGAAUCAUAUUCAUGUGUUAGUGAACCUUAUAGAGACCCGAACAUAUUGGGUUGCUAAUGUUGUUGAAAACAUAACAGUUAGGGUAUCUUAUUCUGAGGUUUAGUUUGAGUAAGAUGAUGGCGGAGUAUUUGGAGUUGUUGCCGUGAUACGAGUGAUGAGUGCAUGUGAUUGAAAUGGUAUCCUAGCAUUUCAUUGGGGGUUUGGAGAAAUCUUAUUAGUUUUGCAUGGACUUGGAAAGAAAUUCAAUUCUAGAAAACAAUCUAGAUAUAGAUGUGGUUGUGGCUCAAAUUGGUUAUGGAUGGAGGAGAUUGGGGGUGAAGUCAGAGAUAGCACAAGUUUGGAGAACUUGGACUGUUUGGAUUAGGAAAUUGAAAAAAAUUAAAUAAUAAAUUAUAAGAAAGUUUUGGAAAUUGGGUGUGUGGAUCCUAUCGGAGAUCUCGUUCAUUUUUGGCCAUGGACUACCAUUGUGAGUAUAAACAAGUCCUUUAAUUUUAGAUUUUUUGUUCUUAGCUUUCUGUCAAUAUGAAAAUUUGACGUACUCUAUGUGUUUGUUAAAAAUCCUGAGCUAGUAUAUAUUCGUUGAUGAACAAAAAUUUAAUAGUUGAUCUCCCUCAUCCGAAUAUCUUGUUUAGUAAUUUGUCUACCUGUUUAUAGUAGAGAAUGUUAGGGUUUAUAAUUAUUAAGAUAUUUUAUAAAGGUUUAUUGACUAAACCUGAUCAGGGAAGAAAAGAUUUGGAUUUUUGUAUAUGUGUGAUGUUACAGAAAUACUUGGAUGGUUGGCGUAUAUGCUGCCACUUACUUUUGAUGAUAAAGUGAUGAUUUUUAGUAGUGAACAAAUAAAUAUUGGUGUUGGUGAUAGUGUGGUGCUGACUUGUGUUUCAUCACCAUGAUGGUAAUAUGCUUCCUAUCAUUCCCAUCGUAUUAUAUAUCUCCUAAUCUCUACAGUACUGCACUAUUUCUGUUGCCCCUAUUUAUCGCCUCUGCAAGGUCUUCCGUAAACUUUGGUUGGCAUAUUUUACUUGGAAUCUCUAGCAUGUUGUUUGGUUUAACCACCGACUUUGAGAAAAUGGUAGACAUUGUAUUUGAAAAAAAUAAAAUAAAAUUGAAUGUGUUGAUGCUUGCACGGUACCGAAAGUAGAGCAGUGAUCGCAACUUGUUAAAUCAAAUAAUAUUUAGGCCGGUAGAUUCUUAGUUGAUAUUGUUGUUUAGAAUUUCUUGAGUUGUUCACUUUGGAUUCAAUCAAUGUAAAUCCUAAUAGUAUGUAUGCCUACCCUUGGUAAAAGUUGAUUAGUAUUUCAUAAUCAGACUUAUACUACAAAGAGUUGUAGUUUUGUGCUUUAGUGUUAUCUAAUCAUAGAGAUGAUAGAAAUGAGGAUCACUGUGCAUACUGUGCAAAAGGCUUAUGUCCUUGGUCAUUUAUAUGUGUUCCAAUAUCUAUUUUAGCACAUUCUUUUGCAUUUGCGUCAUACUGAGGAGGUUGAUGCUCUGUUAAAAUGGUUUGCAAAAAUGUUUAAGUAAUUUUAUUUCUAGAGAAACAAGUUAUUUGGAUAAUGCCAAUUAAAAGGUAAAGGGAAUCUUAUUAUUAUAGCAUACUGGGUUAAUAAACAUAAUGUGGGAAUUUAAUUAUUAUUAUAUGCUUAGUGUUUUCAUAACGUUGGUGGUUAUUUCAUUUAAACUGUAGUAUUUCUCUUGUUUCAAGUGGCAUCGUUUCCUCUUGUAGUGUUUCCUCAGUAAGUGGACAACCUUGGGUGCUAAUAUAUUCUCAUGCUUAAUAUUCAUACUCUGUCAGAAUCCUAAUCUUAGGAGUUGCGGAUGCGUGUGACGGCAUAUUUUAGAUUGGUGUGUUGGAUUAAUUGGAUAAGGGCUUAGCUAGACCAAGUAAGAGAAUUUAUGUUGUUGAGUACUAUGUGCUACUACUAACUCACAUUUCAUUUCCUGAAUGGUAAGUGUAUUUUAGCUUGUUCUUAUCCUUUUGUAGAACUUAUGGAUAUUUGUACGCCUUGUUAUUCCUUUCUUCUCUUC